CAGUCGCCGCGGUAAUACAGAGGGUGCAAGCGUUAAUCGGAAUUACUGGGCGUAAAGCGCGCGUAGGUGGUUCGCCAAGUUGGAUGUGAAAUCCCCGGGCUCAACCUGGGAACUGCAUCCAAAACUGGCGAGCUAGAGUAUGGUAGAGGGUGGUGGAAUUUCCUGUGUAGCGGUGAAAUGCGUAGAUAUAGGAAGGAACAUCAGUGGCGAAGGCGACCACCUGGACUGAUACUGACACUGAGGUGCGAAAGCGUGGGGAGCAAACAGGAUUAGAUACCCCCGUAGUCCCUGUCUCUUAUAC
rnacentral:rRNA from 1 species